rnacentral:rRNA from 1 species
AGCANCCGCGGUAAUUCCAGCUCCAAUAGCGUAUAUUAAAGUUGUUGCAGUUAAAAAGCUCGUAGUUGAAUUUCGGGGUCAGUAGGUCGGUCGUGCCACUGGUAUGAACUGGUUUUACUGAUUCCUCCCUCUUGAAGAACUGUAAUGCCAUUAAUUUGGUGUUGCAGGGAAUCAGGACUGUUACUUUGAAAAAAUUAGAGUGUUUAAAGCAGGCUUUAGCUUGAAUACAUUAGCAUGGAAUAAUGAAAUAGGACGUUUGAUCCUAUUUUGUUGGUUUCUAGGAUUGACGUAAUGAUUAAUAGGGAUAGUUGGGGGCAUUAGUAUUCAAUUGUCAGAGGUGAAAUUCUUGGAUUUAUUGAAGACUAACUACUGCGAAAGCAUUUGCCAAGGAUGUUUUCAUUAAUCAAGAACGAAAGUUAGGGGAUCGAAGACGAUCAGAUACCGUCGUAGUCUUAACCAUAAACUAUGCCGACUAGGGAUCGGAUGAUGUUAAUUUUUUAAUGACUCA